ACACGGCAACUUGGAUUCUAUGUCUGCAGAAAUGAUCAUCUCCUUCGAGCUGCUCUCAUCCCUCUGUCUUUUCUCUCCAUUAACCUGAUUUCCUACCAGGCUUUUCUCAGUUAUGUGGGAGGAUGCAGAAUUUAAUCCUUAUUCAUUGUUCCUUGAGGAUUUACCACAUGACAGACACUGUUCUGAGCAUUCUGCAUGUAUUAAGCCCAUUUAACAUGAGGUAGGUAGGGAUUGUUAUCAUGCCUAUUUGUGUUUGAGGAAACUGAGGCCCAGCAAGGGCAGGGAGUCAAUCGUCUGUGCUCUAUAAACACAGCGAACAGCCCUGAAGGAGUCCCCCUACUCUUGAGAAGCCAAUGUUUCUAGAGUGGGGAGACAGAAAGUGAAGAAGAGAACAAAUGAGGUAAUUUCAGGAAUAAAUUAGAAGGACGUUUAUGAAGGAGACUGGCCCAAUCUCAUUCUAGGUCACACAGUAGCUACUAAGGGGGGGCACUGGGCCCAGAACCCAGGCUAUCUGACGCCAAGGGCAACCUAACAUUGCACCCCACAUCAUUCUUCUUAAAGGGGCUUAUCUGGCAUUUCCUAUAUGGAUUAUGAAUUAUUACAUAUAGGCAUUUCCUAUGUGGAUUAUGAAUUAUUACAUAUAGAACAAUGUAGCAAAGAAGAAGGUAUUAAAAAGUUUCUUUUAAAAAAUUCAGCAAAUAAUAACAACCAGAUGAAGGAAACUUCUCUAGGUCAUUUGCUUCAGAUCCACACUUCGGAUGAAAAUGGCUGAAAAGGAGGCAGAGAUGGCAGAAGACUAAAGGAAAGCGCCGAGCUGUGACUUGACGCCCAUUCCAAGGGCAGUGUGGCUCUUGUGAGACCAAAAGAAGAGUAGGAAUGAACGCGUGGGUCCUGUGAGCAGCGGGUGGCUUUGCUGAGCUUGGUGCUCUUAGAAGACCAGCCACUUUUGUCCCUGCAGCCCGGGGCCACAGAGCCAGACACCAGACCCACAGCAGCCCGGGAAGUAACGGUCGCUCUGUCUCGUCUGGGAAGAUCUCCGUUGCCAGGGCUUGCUGGACCCGCCCCCGCACAGCUUCCCAGCAGUCCCGAUUCCGCCUGAGGCUCCAGAAGGCGAAGCUGUACAGGAGGCCACUUUUCUUCUCAGCCUAGAACUCGAGAGACCUGAAAGGAAGGACGACUGGCCACAGGAGAUGUUUCACAGAGCCGCUGAAUGAACAACACAGUCAAUUCUGAUCAACUUUCCAGUGCUAUCUGGGUGUAAGUGAGUGGCCCUGGAGGUGGGUGCCUCUCCCCGGCGCAGUUUUUCCUUCCAUCACAAGCAUGGCUGAAGCUGGGUGGUGGUGCAUACAGAUUCCAGCCAGCAAGGAGGGGAAAGAGAGUUCAGAGGACUCACCUCCACUGUCCCCGACCCAGGCCUGUAGCAUCUAUAUUGGCUCCUCUCAGGUUCCACAGAAUUCCUCAAGAUGACUGAGGUUGGUCCCUGAAGAAACCAAAUUCAGUGUAAGAAAACCAACAUCACAAAGAGUCCCAACCAAGGUCCAGAGCAGCUUCCUAUUCUGAGUCUGUUGCCCUUGAAGAGAUGAACGGCCAGCAUCCAAAAGCAGUGAUAAAUUGCACCCAGAGGGCACUUCAAGAAAUGUGACUUGAUGAGGGUCUAAAGAUGAAGGCUGACAUUUAGAGCUUGUGAAUACAACUUCCACCUCCAUCUGUAAGCAGAAAAUAGUUCAUUAAAUAAA
rnacentral:lncRNA from 1 species